rnacentral:snRNA from 1 species
GUUUUUGUGCAGUGGCAAUAUAGUAGCCAAUGAGAUCUAACCAAGGCACUGUUAUUGCUAAUUGAAAACUCUUCUCAACUCUCCAUUGGCUAAGAUCUCACUCAUACAUCAGUUUGUCAUAUUGUGGUGGCUUGUGUGUUGCUGGAAGCUAUGCCACCAGUAUUUCAAAUAG